CCCUUAGAUGUCCGGGGCCGCACGCGCGCUACACUGAAGGAAUCAGCGUGGCUUUCUCCCUGACCCGAAAGGGUUGGGAAACCCGUUGAAUCUCCUUCGUGAUAGGGAUUGGGGCUUGAAAUUGUUCCCCAUGAAAGAGGAAUUCCCAGUAAGCGCGAGUCAUAAGCUCGCGUUGAUUACGUCCCUGCCCUUUGUACACACCGCCCGUCGCUACUACCGAUUGAACGGUUUAGUGAGGGCCUCGGAUUGGUCUCGGCCCGCUCUUUACCGGGCGGCGCCGUUGGUCGAGAAGACGCUCGAACUUGAUCGUUUAGAGGAAGUAAAAGUCGUAACA
rnacentral:rRNA from 1 species